CACUUACAGGAAUGCUAGUGGUACAUCUAUUUGAACAUAGUUAAUAAAGAGACCUUGCUGUUCCUCUUGGUGUCGGUAAUGUUUAUUGCCACAUUGCUCUAACCAGACUGUUCUUUUGUCUGCAAUUGUCUAACGGUUGCGCUAUGAUUUGUGGCCCUGGAAUUUGAAGCAGUUGUAGGCGACUAGGCAUCUCAUUUGAAUGGGCGAAUUAUUAAGUUUUUUAUACUCUUAACAAAUAUUGAAGGGUUCAAAGGCCGGGGCGCUUAUCUAUGGUAAGAGUUAAAAACUUUUUAUGAGAAUACAUUUGCCUUAACAUGUCCUAAUUUAGAUUCAAUCUUCAUCUGUCAAAUAAGCAGUCUGAAGCAGGACAGAGGUGGAUUAUUUCUUCAACAUUUUGUUUUAACUUAUUUGCAAAUGGAGGUCAUCCUGUACACUGUAAGAUGCCAAGUUACAUUAUGCCUAAUUACGCAUCAGUAUCGAGUAUUUACAGGCUCUGCAUAUACAAUCAGGUACUCGUGGCAUUCUGGGUAUGCCAACUAUCACAUAAAAUUUUUCAGACAGCAGGAUUAGCAGAUGGGUCCUAAAGGUUGGUUCUAGAGGAUGAAUCUUGAAGGUGGCUUCAAGAUUGAACUUCCAUCUUCUUAGUUCUGUUUAGUUGUUU
rnacentral:misc_RNA from 1 species